AUAAAUGGCCCGAGAGACGGGAGAUCUGGAAUGAGAUAAAUGGCCCGAGAGACGGGAGAUCUGGAAUGAGAUAAAUGGCCCGAGAGACGGGGGAUCUGGAAUGAGAUAAAUGGCCCGAGAGACGGGGGAUCUGGAAUGAGAUAAAUGGCCCGAGAGCCGGGAGAUCUGGAAUGAGAUAAAUGGCCCGAGAGCCGGGAGAUCUGGAAUGAGAUAAAUGGCCGAGAGCCGGGAGAUCUGGAAUGAGAUAAAUGGCCCGAGAGCCGGGAGAUCUGGAAUGAGAUAAAUGGCCAGAGAGACGGGGGAUCUGGAAUGAGAUAAAUGGCCCGAGAGACGGGAGAUCUGGAAUGAGAUAAAUGGCCAGAGAGACGGGAGAUCUGGAAUGAGAUAAAUGGCCAGAGAGACGGG